rnacentral:lncRNA from 1 species
AUUAGGUUAAGUUGGAUAGGUUUGGUUAGAAUUUGGAUUGGAUUAGAAUUAGAUUAGGAUUUAAAACUUGAUUAGAAUUUGAUUAGAAUUUAAGAUAGGACUAGGAUUUAGGAUUUGAUUUAGGAUUUAGAAAUUAGAAUUUCCUUAGGAUUUAGGAUUUAGUUUAGAGUUUAGAAUUGAAGGUUUGCUUAAAAUUAAGGAUUUAGGAUUUGUUUAGGAUUUAGGAUUUGGCCUAGGAUUUGAUUGAAAUCCAUUAGGAUUUCUAUUAGAAUUAAAUUAAGACUUCAUUGAGAUUUAUUUAAGAUGUAUUUGUAAUUAUUUUAAUAUUUCUUUAGAACUUCUUAAGGAUUCUUUUAAAAU